rnacentral:rRNA from 1 species
UACGUAGGGGGCAAGCGUUGUCCGGAAUCAUUGGGCGUAAAGCGCGCGUAGGUGGCCCGGUAAGUCCGCUCUGAAAGUCAAAGGCUCAACCUUUGAAAGCGGGUGGAUACUGUCGGGCUAGAGUCCGGAAGAGGCGAGUGGAAUUCCUGGUGUAGCGGUGGAAUGCGCAGAUAUCAGGAGGAACACCAACGGCGAAGGCAGCUCGCUGGGACGGUACUGACGCUGAGGAACGAAAGCUAGGGUAGCGAACGGG